GCCUUCGUAGUGUAACGGUUAGCACAUUCGGCGCGUAUCGAGAGUUCCAGGUUCGAGUCCCGGAGAAGGCA
rnacentral:tRNA from 1 species